rnacentral:rRNA from 1 species
UGGCGACCGGCGCACGGGUGAGUAACACGUAUCCAACCCGCCGAUGACUCGGGGAUAGCCUUUCGAAAGAAAGAUUAAUACCCGAUGGCAUAGUUCUUCCGCAUGGUAGAACUAUUAAAGAAUUUCGGUCAUCGAUGGGGAUGCGUUCCAUUAGGUUGUUGGUGAGGUAACGGCUCACCAAGCCUUCGAUGGAUAGGGGUUCUGAGAGGAAGGUCCCCCACAUUGGAACUGAGACACGGUCCAA